rnacentral:lncRNA from 1 species
GCGGGGGCCCAGGGUGGAGAGCACGAGGGCCUGGCCCAGGCACGGCCGGCGCCUCCGCCCUCGAGGAGGGCGUCACCUCAGCUCCCCCCGGCGGCGGAGCCGGCGGGCUCAGGCGGGCGCGGCUGAGGGGAGCGGACCGCGGGGGGCGGGAGAUGACUGCGCCCAAGGCCUUUGCGGGCCUCAGCCGGCCCCAGAGGAAGGGGAACCCGUCGAGCGGUUUGGUGCGUGUGAAGCGCGACAUGGCGAGGAAGCGGACAAGCCCGGGUGGCCCGGCGUGUAGAGGGAAGGGGGCGGGGCUAGACGCGGCCUGGACAACUACUAGAGCGCCUCGGGCUGUGCUGCUCGAGACUACAUUUCCCAGAGCGACGCGCGCGGAGCGGGCGGGAAAGAGAGCGUUUCGGGUCCAGUGCGCAGGUGCGAAAGCCAUCUUUGGUUAUAUAAGGGAGGUUCAGGAAGCCAUUCGUUCUUUCGCGUCUGCGGUGCCCGGAGUGUGGUACUUCUCCUAGUUGCAGUCAGGCUUCAUACGCUAUUGUCCUGCCCGGUUAGAGCAGCCAGCGGGUACAGAAUGGAUUUUGGAAGAGGGAGUCACCACUGGACCUCCAAGGAAGCCACGUGCAGACAUCUACAACCUUCGAUCUCCUGACGAGGUUUAUUGUUGGCCAAAACCAGGCUUUGAUUGAACCAGGAUGAAUGCGGGUGUUGGAAGUAGAAUAUAUAUAUACAUAUAAAAUUGGGUUGGGAGCCACGUGUACCAGUGUGUGUUGAUCUUGGCUUGAUUCAGUCUGCCUUGUAACAGGAAACUGGCGAUGGAAUAUGAGAGGAGCCCUCUGGAAAGAAAAGGACAGACCCUGUGCUUUCAUGAAAGUGAAGAUCUGGCUGAACCAGUUCCACAAGGUUACUGUAUACAUAGCCUGAGUUUAAAAGGCUGUGCCCACUUCAAGAAUGUCAUUGUUAGACUUUGAAAUUUCUAACUGCCUACCUGCAUAAAGAAAAUAAAAUCUUUUAAAUCAAAA